rnacentral:rRNA from 1 species
UACGUAGGGGGCUAGCGUUGUCCGGAAUCAUUGGGCGUAAAGCGCGUGUAGGCGGUUCGGUAAGUCCGCUGUGAAAGUCGGGGGCUCAACCCUCGAAUGCCGGUGGAUACUGUCGGGCUUGAGUACGGAAGAGGCGAGUGGAAUUCCUGGUGUAGCGGUGAAAUGCGCAGAUAUCAGGAGGAACACCAAUUGCGAAGGCAGCUCGCUGGGACGUUACUGACGCUGAGACGCGAAAGCGUGGGGAGCAAACAGG